rnacentral:rRNA from 1 species
UACAGAGGUGGCAAGCGUUGUUCGGAAUUACUGGGCGUAAAGGGCGCGUAGGCGGUCCCGUCAGUCCCUUGUGAAAUCCCCCGGCUCAACUGGGGAACUGCAAGGGAUACAGCGGGGCCUGAGUUCGGGAGAGGGAAGCGGGAUUCCGGGUGUAGCGGUGAAAUGCGUAGAUAUCCGGAGGAACACCGGUAGCGAAGGCGGCUUCCUGGACCGAUACUGACGCUGAGGCGCGAAAGCGUGGGGAGCAAACAGG